UACCCUGAACGGUGGAUCACAUGGCUCGUGGGUCGAUGAAGAACGCAGCUAAUUGCGCGUCAACUUGUGAACUGCAGGACACAUGAACAUCGACAUUUCGAACGCACAUUGCGGUCCAUCGAUACAAUUCCCGGACCACGCCUGGCUGAGGGUCG
rnacentral:rRNA from 13 species